UACAGAGGGUGCAAGCGUUAAUCGGAAUUACUGGGCGUAAAGGGUGCGUAGGUGGUUUUAUAAGUUAGGUGUGAAAGUCCUGGGCUUAACCUGGGGAUUGCGCUUAAAACUGUAGAGCUAGAGUACUGUAGAGGAAGGUGGAAUUUCCGGUGUAGCGGUGAAAUGCGUAGAUAUCGGAAGGAACAUCAGUGGCGAAGGCGACUUUCUGGACAGAUACUGACACUGAGGCACGAAAGCGUGGGGAGCAAACAGG
rnacentral:rRNA from 1 species